AGAGCAUUAGCACCCAAGCAGGACCUGCUGAACCUGGGGCCCUAUAGGAGAGCACUGAUGGCCCACCCCUGAUUGUGGCCCUGGUCUUCAUGUCUGCAUCAGCCUCAGCCAUCUCAAGACCACAACAGGAACAUAGCCAAGUCAGAGAAGGAAGACCAAAAGCACCAGGGCCCUUCAUAUUAUUAAGCUGCUAAAUUAACUAAUCUUGGAAACUUCUAGACUCUACAAUUCUUGUUGUAUGAGGUUUAACAAGUUCAAGAGAGAAGAUAUUGGCCAAAUACAACACAGAGGCUAAACACAACACCUAUGUUGAUUGUUUGGUGCAUAAGAAUUGAGAUGAUGGAAAGAGGUCACUGUGAGCUUCAGGAAUAGCUUGAGGCUAACUGAUAAAACAGAACUUCUAGCAACUAACCCUGGCAUGACCACCAGAAUCUGCAGGGCUGAGAGAAGAAAGAAAGGCAAAAGUGGAUGAAUGCAGCUGAAGAUGCUGUGGAACUCCUAUCACAUUCCAAGUGCUGUGUUGAUAUCUGGAGAUAUAGACAAGAUCGAAGCAGAUGCAGUCUUUCACAUGAAUAUUUGAAUCAGGCAGUAUGUUCCCCAAAUUAGCAAAGUAUCUCCCAGAUUUUUUCUUUGAUGAUAUAUUUGAAAUCCUAAUGCUGAAAGUUAAAUUAUCAGGGUUUUAAAACUAGAAGCAGUCAUUAUCAGAAUUUUAUAUACUAUUUAUUUUUAAGAACGUAAUUUGACUGUUUAAGUCUUAUUAUAAUUUUAAGUGAAGUACUUUGGGCAGUCAUAAAUAAAGUAAUGGGCAGGUAUUUAGUAUUCAUAUUGUGUGGAUUCAUAUCCAUACUCUGCCACUCAGUAUCUCUGGGAUUUUGAUGAAUGAUCAAACUCUCUGAGCCUCAGUUUUCUAAUCUGUAAAGCAGAAAUGAUAAUGGUAUGUAGUGAUAAUUAAACAAUUUACUAGUUGUAAGUGCUUAGAACAGUUCCUGGAAUAGAGAAAAUUUGCAGAGAGAUUUUUAUUGUUUACAAUUUAGUUAAUGGAAUGGCUUCAAUAAUACAGUAAAAUUAAGAUAUUCAAACAAGCAGGAUGCAGGUGAUGGGUAUUGGCCUCAGCUUUAGAGACCAGAGGUUAAAUCUCAGUGCUGCCUGCCACAAAACGAUCCAUGUAAGUCAAUAAACAAUGCUUUUUAAAAUAUUAUUAUAAA
rnacentral:lncRNA from 1 species